CUUGUUACCUGGCAGGGUAAACACCAUUAUCAUGUAGGUGGUUUUCCCAGGGCAAGGCUCAUCCAUUGCACUUGGGAUGUGUUGAUCCCUGCAAUUUCGCCAAAGGGGGGAAGCGGGCCUGCAAAGGUC
rnacentral:snRNA from 1 species